GUUGUAUGGUUAAGUGACUAAGCGUACACGGUGGAUGCCUUGGCAGUCAGAGGCGAUGAAGGACGUAUUAACUUGCGAUAAGCCCAGAUUAGGCAGUAAAAGCCACUUGAGUCUGGGAUUUCCGAAUGGGGAAACCCACUAGCAUAAGCUAGUAUCGCUGCGUGAAUACAUAGCGCAGCGAGGCGAACCGGGGGAACUGAAACAUCUAAGUACCUCGAGGAAAAGAAAUCAACCGAGAUUCCGAAAGUAGCGGCGAGCGA
rnacentral:rRNA from 1 species